GAUCCAUGGGAAAGGGAAAGGAAGAUCCAAGGACCCCAGGGAAGACACGAGAUCUCCCUUUCUGACUGAGUCUGUGUGGAUGUGAUGUAUGGGGGGAAAUUCACAAGACACACACGUGGGGAAAACAGCUCUGGACGGGGAUUUCCACAGCAAGCGAUCAUCAGAGUGACCAUGCUGUGCUCUCAGCUAUCAGCAGCACAAUUGGAACGCUGUCAUCCUAAACCUACCCUUCAGGAAUUCCUCUGUUGAUUUUUCUCUCAUCCACCAGGAAGUUGGGCUCUUCUACUCCUUUCUCUUCAUGCUCCCUCUCCAGCUAUGAGGAGAUGAAAAACAAAAAUGUGGUUUUAUAUUUUGUGCUGGUGCUGGUGACCUGUGAAAAAUCUUUCUCUACUUGUACAUUUGAAUUUGUAAGUGCUUCAAGCAACUUUGGAACAUACAUAAAGGAUUUGAAACAAGUCUUGUUUACUGAUUAUGAAGUCCAAGUGGUGUCUAACCUAGAACCGGACAAGCACUGUUCAGAGCUCUGGCACAUCUAUGAUACUUAUACCAUGCUGGAGAAUUUAAAAGAAAAAGCUGAAAGUGACGUUAAGGAACGUAUAAUAAAACUUCAAAGAGAACUUCAAUCUGUACAAGACUGCAGAUUUUCGGUUCCAGAAACCUGUACCAAACAUAAGCAGACACUUGUAUUGAGACUCCAGGAAUUAGAUUUUGAGAGACUGAAAAACAUUAAAGGAGACUAUUCCAAUUGCACUGUCUUAAGAUGUGUUUCAGGAAAUACCAUUACUGACCAUUCAGAUGAUCACCUUGACAAUGUUACUACCAAUUAUUCCACUGAAGGGCAGGAUGCAGGGGCCAAACUAAAUUAUGAAGAUUAUUUGCAACAAAAUGGAAGUAAGUCUGCAUUAAGUCAAGAAACCGCUCAAACAGAAAGAGACAGGAAUGUUUCCAUUGCUAUAGUAGUAGUAUCCCUUGCUCUACUCCUUGCUAUUUGUGCUUUAAUUAAGCAGUGUUUGGAUUACAAGGAGAAAAACCACAAUAGGACCCUGAAGACCCCUCAUGGGGUAUUCCCACUGUGAUGGGUGAAGCCUAGACCAAUACAGGACAAGGAAAGAACCCAGUGUCUGUUUUAGCCUCUUAUCUGACCGGCAUCCACAAUCUCAUGCACAUGUGAGAAGAGCUGCUCACUGCCGCCUGGAAGCCAGCAGCUACACAAGUCUGAUCCUGAGUUGAAGAUACAGACCAAAGCAGAGCACAUAUACUACCUGUGACAGGCAGCCUUGAGACAGAGAAGGAAGAUUAUAUACAAAAGAAGGCUGGAUACAAAGUAAUAAAGGUGCACUAGACUUGUACAUUAGUCCGACGUGGAACUACCUCCCUUAGAAGAAGUAGAAAUGGAAAACUUUUAAGAAGACCUGGAGGUGGCAUUGGAGGAGGCCAAAUACGAUUUCUCACCACAGCCUUCCAUAUAGUGUAGAUAUGCUGACUUCUGCUGUGAGCAAUAGCCUCUGCAUAGUUGAACUUGAUUCUCCUCAGUCUUUCCAGGACCCUCUGGAUAAAGAGACCUGACACUUUUUAAAAGACACUCCGCAUUCUUGAACAAAUGGAAUUGCCAAUUUAUGAUGAUUGGGCUUCUUCUGAAAAUGUUUCCACCUCUUAAAGAAUAAUUGCUGAGCUAUUUCCAGUGGAUAAAGACUUAGUUAAAGGCUUGAGAAAGUCCAGUCGGGACACAAUACGUCAGGUUGGCAUGGCUGGUGACAUCAUCAUACUGGAUAGGUGCAUUGUGGGAUUGUGAGAUAUCGAUGUCUGGUAACGUUUUUAACUAGACACACUAUCCUUGAUGCGAACACUGCUUAUAUCUUCGUGCCCUCUGAAGGACUGUUAAUGGACAGACUUUCCUAGAUUGGAAUAGACCAACAUCAUUGAAACAUCAUUUUAAUUUUCUGCUCGGCUGGUAUGGGACUGAAACCACAGAGAUUCAAAACCAGACAGAGAAGCAUUUACAGAUGUCAGAUUCUUUUGGGCAUGGAACUUGUUCUGCACAUCGUUUUUAUGGAAUCAAUACAACUGCAAGUGGAAACAAAAGGAGACAGACUUCAAAAUAUAAGUGCAGUUCUAGAGUGCAUGAUUAAAAAUAUGAGUGUUUCUGAGAUUACAUGCUGUAACUAAACUCAUACACCAUGGUUUUACUGACAUGUUGGAAAGACUGCCAUUUAGAGAGACUACACUGUCACGUGAAGAGAUUGUUUGCUAUACGCACUGUAUUGUCUCUUUUGUGUAACUACUACACUAAUGGUCCCUGCUAUAUGGAAGGAGAUUGUCCUGAAGAGCCAACCAUGUAGACAGAAACUAUUGUAGAGAGCCUGGCACUUGGACAGAAGCUGCAGUGAAAACCAGGAAAAAUGUGGCUGAUAACUGUAAACAUGGGUCCCAUGGCAUACUGGUACUGAGGGCCUGAAUCUGUAGUAACAGGUUUCAGGUUGUGUGGUAAGGGGCACCUAGUGCAAAUGUUCAUCUGGCUUGGUAAUCAGAUAUGGCCAGUGUGUUUUGAGAAAAAGGCCCCUACUAUCUUCAGGGUUUGAACACACAGUUUGCUUUGGAUUUACGAUAGAGUUCACUAAAAACCCAGAAUUAGGUCUAGAACAGGGCUAGAAUUGUCAACGUAUGCAGAAUGCAAAUUAUCUAGCAGGACCUGCAUUUUCUACCUAUUGGGUAAGGAUUUCCAGCUUUUUGCACCCUACUCUACUGUCCCUAUGGUGCCUAGUUUGGUUCCCUUCGAAGAACAACGUGUAUCUUUCCUCUGUGUGUCACAAAAAAACAAAACAUAAGGUCAUGUGAUGUAAUGGACUCAUUCCCCAUUCUGCCCCUUUAUAAGAUCUGCUGUUAGUCUUAAGCCUCGAACACACAAUAAAGAUAUCACACGAAUGAUCGUCCAUUUUUCUUUGCAUGCUAGCCUCAUAUCGAAAACCAAUAGGUUACUAAAGUUACGAAAAUUUGCGUACAACAGAAUACAACUUCAUAAGUCAUGUAAUGUAUUGUAUUGUAAUGUAUUCUUUCAUUUCCGAGCAUGGGUGCCCUUGGUCACAUGAUUUUCUUCGUACAAAUAACAUACUAACACAAAAUUUGUUUGUUCUGUUAUUAUACAAAAAAUAUUUGUGUGCUUGCCAUUUGGAUGUUUUUGCAUGAACUGUCAUGUUUGGCUAUCGAAAACUGUGUACUAACAAUCAAAUUAUUGGAAGAUCGCUCUGAAAAUUAAAUUUUUCUUCAGAUUUUCUCACCGUGUGUACUUGGCAUUAAGCAGGGUCAAUAAAAGAAAAGUACAUUUUUCCAGAACAAGUACAUUAGAGAGUCAGCAGCAAAUAGUUUGUAUCAUGGACUGUGAAGAUGUUGUUUUUUAAAUGUACUAUAACAGCUAUUAACCCUUUUGCUGGCUGAGACAUUUUUGCAUUCUUUUGCACACAUGUUAAAAUGCAUAUUUUAGACCUGAAGAUUAGUUAAAACCUUCGAAACCUGAUAAAUAUUUCCUAAAAGCAAAUACGCUAGUGAAUAAAAUAAUGGUAGUUAUGCCCAAGUAAGUAGUAAAUCAAACAACUAUUGCUGUGACCUAAACUGUGGUUUGAAAAAAUAAAUUCUAUUCAGGUA